rnacentral:lncRNA from 1 species
AAGAGCAUUGCCCCUAUUCCCAUACGCCAGGAGACGAGGGAUAUUCACAGAGAAACGAUCGCCACUUUGACAGGCGGCCUUCGAGCAACGAGAGAUCUCGGCAUGACAGGCGGCCUUCGAGCAACGAGAGACCUCAGCAUGAUAGGCGGCCUUCGAGCAACGAGAGACCUCAGCAUGACAGGCAAAACGAUAAACAUUUUGAUCGUCAAGCGUCAGGCAGCGAGAGGCAGCAGGAUAGGCCCGACAGCAGGCAGAGUGGCUG